AGCGAACGCUGGCGGCAUGCUUAACACAUGCAAGUCGCGCGGGUGGUUUCGGCCAUCAGCGGCGGCCGGGUGAGUAUCGCGUAGGAAUGUAUCCCGAGGUGGGGGACAACCCUGGGAAACUGGGGCUAAUACCGCAUGGUGCCUGUGGGUCAAAGCCGUAGCGCGCCUUGGGGGCAGCCUGCGUCCGAUUAGGUAGUUGGUGGGGUACAGGCCUACUAAGCCUGCGAUCGGUAGCUGGUCGGCGAGGACGAUCAGCCACACUGGAACUGAGACACGGCCCAGACUCCUACGGGAGGCAGCGGAAGGGAAUAUAAGAGGAGGGACGCAGGCGUGGUACAGCAGUGCGGGGUGGGUCAAGAAGGUGUUCGGAAUGUAAAGCCGUUUCGGCGGGGACGAUGGUGACGGUACCCGCAGAAGAAGCACCGGCUAACUUCGUG
rnacentral:rRNA from 1 species